AUUGAUUCUUAUGGUGAUCUCCCUGUAAAUUUCAUUGGUUGGGGAUGAUCAAGUUUUUGAAGAAUAGACAGAAUUUCCAGUACUAAACAGCACUGUGCAUUUUUGCUUGCACUAUUUUACGUCUCCUGAUACAUGU